rnacentral:misc_RNA from 1 species
AUAUAUAUCAACCUCUUCAGCUUUUUGCAUGUUGAGUUGUUGGAUGUGGGGGUUAUUUUUUGCUGGACUUCUUGAGAAAUCUGAGUUCAGCUCCCCUAAAAUACAUUAGCGAAACAAUUUGUUUACUGCUCAUUGGUGUGAUAACUAUCUACGCUAUUGACAGGGGGCAUGUUUAGCUUCUAACAGUCCAUUUAACUUGGACAAUUUCUUAUUA